rnacentral:tRNA from 2 species
GGUGCUAUAGUGUAGUGGUUAUCACUCGGGAUUUUGACUCCUCCAAUAUUCCCGAAACCCAGGUUCGAACCCUGGUAGCACCU